AAUAAACCUAAGUUUGGGAAAAGGGUUUAUUUGAAAUGAAUGUUUAGCUGGGGGGUUAUUUGGUCAUUUUAUGAAAGUUAAAAGGAUUCUAGGGAUUUUAUGUUUGCGUCCUCAUCAUCUCUUGAUCGAGCAUAGGAAAAGAAACACGAACGUCAGCCGGCAAGAAAUUCACGAAGGCUCGCAGACACGAAUCGGAUGUUUUGGUCGAUCGAUUGCGAGAAGGGUGUUUCUCCGGGGGUCGACGAGGUCAAAGGGAAGGAAGGGACGAAGCAGCGAGGUUUCGCUAUUUCUCGUCCGGCUGUGAGGUGCGAAGGGAGGAGGAGGAAAUGGGUCCGAUUGAAGCGAUGAGAGCAGCAACGGCAGAGCAGGCGAGGCAUCUGCGGUCGUUGGUCGAUGGGAGCAGAAGAGAGAGUGCGAGGAGAGGAGGUCAGAAGAAGGGUCCGGGAGGAGAUAGGCAGCAACGACCGUUUGGGCUGCUGAGAGGGAAAGGAAAGUGCGAGAGGCGGGGGGGCUGCCUCGAUGGUUCACCGUAGCACCAUCACUGCGGGUGGUUCAUGACAGGGGACGAAAAAACAGGCAGAAAAACAAGGAAGAAAGGUAAAAAAAUAAUAAUAAUAAUAAAUCAUCUUUGUUUCGAUUAACAGCAAAGUAAAUAGGAAAAAAAAAAAGGUGCCAUUCUCUUGAUUUCACAAGUAAUCGACCACUCUAAUUGGUGUGUUCUUGACAGGUACUCAAAGAAGAAUGUAGAACAACAAUAAAAAUCUUUAGGGUGUUUGGGUGUUGCUGUGAAAUCGGUGGGAAGGAAGGAAGGGGUUUGAAAGAGGGUUGUUGUCCUCUUGGUUGCACAGGUAACUACUCCUCUAGUGGUGUGUGUUCUUGGCUGAAAUCGAAGGAGAAGAAGAAAAGAAACAACAAUUUUUGUGGUGUUUGUUCUUGGCUGAUCACGAAGAAAAAAAAAUGGUGUUGAAUUUUUUUUAUUAUGAUUGUACAUGUUUGAGUGUUGAUUUUUAUCGGUGUACGUGUUUGAGUGUUGUCUUCGUUGAAGAAAGAGUGCAAGAAUCCAUUUUUUUAGUGUAGAAUUGAUGUCCCUUAAAUGAGAUUUAGAAGUAAC
rnacentral:lncRNA from 1 species